GACGAACGCUGGCGGCGUGCUUAACACAUGCAAGUCGAACGGAAAGGCCCUGCUUUUGUGGGGUGCUCGAGUGGCGAACGGGUGAGUAACACGUGAGUAACCUGCCCUUGACUUUGGGAUAACUUCAGGAAACUGGGGCUAAUACCGGAUAGGAGCUCCUGCUGCAUGGUGGGGGUUGGAAAGUUUCGGCGGUUGGGGAUGGACUCGCGGGUUAUCAGCUUGUUGGUGGGGUAGAGGCUUGCCAAGGCUUUGACGGGUAGCCCGCCUGAGAGGGUGACCGGGGCCACGGGGCCUGCGAGAGGGAGCAGAGUCCCAUAGGGGACAGCGGGGGGGAGUAUUGUACAAUGGGAGCGAGAGUGUGACGGAGGCGCCCCGGGUGGGAUGACGGCCUGUUGGGUUUGAAAAGCUGUAGCGUGUGACGAAGAGUGUGUGACGGUAAUGGGUAAAGAAGCACCGGCUAACUACGUG
rnacentral:rRNA from 1 species